CGAGGCUCAUAGAAAAACUGUGACCCGGCGCGGCGACGCGCCGCGGAAAAACUCUCAAAAUUGCUGGAAACCCCUUGAGAAUCAGAGCGGCUACAGCGGGGCCGGAAACGGCGGACGCGAACGCAGAAAAUGCUCUGGAUUGGGCAAUCAGCAGCGAAAUCUCGCUUCAUUCGUGCGGGAGACGUUCAGAGACUAUAAUGGGAGCUUCUCGCCGCACACCCAAUAGAGAAGAUGGUAUAGUCCAUUCCUUUUUGAAAGAAAAGG
rnacentral:ncRNA from 1 species